GACGAACGCUGGCGGCGUGCCUAACACAUGCAAGUCGAACGGAAAGACCCAGCUUUUGGGUGUUUCUCGAAUGGCGAACGGAUGAGUAACACGUGUGUAACCUACCCUUGAAUUUGGGAUAACAUCAGGAAAAUGGGGCUAAUAACGGAUAAGAGCUCCUGCUGCAUAGGGGGGGGUGGAAAGGUUCGGCGGUGUGUGAUGGACUCGCGGCUGAUCAGCUCGUUGGUGGGGUAGUGGCGUACCACGGCUUUGACGGGUAGCCGGCCUGGGAGGGUGACCGGCGACAUUGGGACUGAGAUACGGCCCAGAGUCGUACCGGCGGCAACAGUGGGGAAUCUUGCACAAUGGGCGGAAGCCUGAUACGGCAACGCCGCGUGCGGGAAGUCGGCCUUGGGGUGGUAAACCGAUUUAGCCUGUGACGAAGCGUGAUUGACGGUAAUCGGUAAAGAAGCACCGGCUAACUACGUG
rnacentral:rRNA from 1 species